rnacentral:rRNA from 1 species
AACGUAGGAGGCGAGCGUUAUCCGGAUUUACUGGGUGUAAAGCGCAUGCAGGCGGCAUGAUAAGUUGGGUGUGAAAGCUCCUGGCCUAACCGGGAGAGGUCGCUCAAGACUGUCAAGCUCGAGGAUGAGAGAGGAAGGCGGAAUUCCGGGUGUAGUGGUGAAAUGCGUAGAGAUCCGGAGGAACACCAGUGGCGAAAGCGGCCUUCUAGCUCAUAACUGACGCUCAGAUGCGAAAGCCAGGGUAGCAAACGGG